rnacentral:tRNA from 1 species
GGUCGAAUGGCCGAGUGGCUAGGCAGAGGUCUGCAAAACCUUCCACAGCGGUUCGAAUCCGCUUUCGACCUCCA